rnacentral:rRNA from 2 species
UAAACGACUCUCGGCAACGGAUAUCUCGGCUCACGCAUCGAUGAAGAACGUAGCAAAAUGCGAUACUUGGUGUGAAUUGCAGAAUCCCGUGAACCAUCGAGUUUUUGAACGCAGGUUGCGCCCGAAGCCUUUUGGCCGAGGGCACGUCUGCCUGGGCGUCACAC